rnacentral:lncRNA from 1 species
GAACAUGGAAUUCUUUAACAAAGAGCAGAUCCUCCAUCUUGCCCUUCCAUAGAUGAUAGUUAGCACCAUUCAAGCUUAUCAUCCUGCUCGUAUUUUCCAUCAUUCUCACAAGCAACAAUAACCCGAAGUUAUCAAACCCAAAGCUCUAAACCCAGAAGCUCUGAUACCACUUUGUUGGGGAAAGCGGGCACGAGGCGCAGCGGAAUGUAGCGAUUGUGUUCCCCCUGACCUUGUGAGAACCUGUGAGGAAAAUACUUCGACGAUAGCAGGAUAUAGUAUAAGCAAUAACUAAAUGAGACAAACACUUUUUACGUGGAAAACCUCCUCGAUGUGAGAAGGAAAAACCACGGAACCGUAGUCCACUCAACAAUCCACUAUAUAAAU